GUGUUCUGUUCUCCUGGACAGCUUCACUCCGCAAAUAGCUCAACCACUGAGGGGAGGAACUUCACCAUUCAAAAGACAUUGUCUUCAGGCAGAGUCUAGCAAAGCAGCUUCCCCUGGAAAUCCUCAGGGAAGUUAUUUUGUCAGCGG